UCAAGCAAGCAUAGGUCUGUGGCGGAUGCCUAGGAGCUGUCCGGCGAAGAAGGCCGCGGUAAGCUGCGAAAAGCUGCGGGGAGGAGCACACAUCCUGAGAUCCGCAGAUAGCCGAAUGGGGUAACCCGUAUGUCGCAAGGCAUACACCGCGCGCGGGAAGAAGAUACUGCGGCGGAGCGAUACUGCGUGAAGUGAACCAUCUAAGUAACGCGGGAAGAGAAAUCAAAAGAGAUUGCGCAAGUAGCGGCGAGCGAACGCGCAGGAGCCUAAACCCUUAUGUAGGGUGUUGCAGGGCCGCACGGGGAUGACCCGUGGAGUUAGGAAAAAACCGAUUUUUAGCGGAAGCGUCUGGAAAGGCGCGCGAGACAGCGUGAAAGCCGCGUAUGCGAAAGAUAUCGGACUCCAUGGUGCGGUACCUAAGUAGGGCGGGGCACGAGAAACCCUGUUUGAAUCCGGGUCGACCACGAUCCAAGGCUAAAUACGAGACAGCUACCGACAGCGAAGAGUACCGUGAGGGAACGGCGAAAAGAACCCCGGUGAGGGGAGUGAAAGAGAACCUGAAACCGCAAACCGACAAGAUGUCACGGCGCGCGAGCGUUGUGGCGUGUCUUUUGUAGAAUAAACCUGCGAGUUGCGAUGCGCGGCGAGGCUAAGGGUUGGGAGAUCCGGAGCCGGAGCGAAAGCGAGUGUGAAAAGUGCGAAAAGUCGCGUGUCGCAGACCCGAAGCCAAGGUGAUCUAAUUAUGGGCAGGCUGAAGGCAGGGUGAAACCUGUUGGAGGGCCGAACAGUAAUCUGUUAAAAAAGGUAGUGAUGACCUGUGAUUAGGAGUGAAAGGCUAAACAAACCUGGAAAUAGCUGGCUCUCCCCGAAAUGCCUUUAGGGACAGCCUCAUGCAAAGCGGAAGGAGGUAAAGCACCGGAUGGGAUAGGGGGCGUCACAGUCUACCGACACCAAUCGAACUCAGAAUGCCAUCCGCCAACGCAUGGGAGUGAGACUGUGUGCUCCAAGGUUCAUAGUCGAGAGGGAAACAGCCCGGACCGACGGCAAAGGUCCCGAAAUAACGCUCAGUGUGAAAUGAGGUGCGUCUGCACAGACAGCCAGGAGGUUGGCUCAGAAGCAGCCAUUCCUUAAAAGAGUGCGUAACAGCUCACUGGUCGAGCAGGCGUGCGCAGACAAUGUAACGGGGCUAAGCGUUAUACCGAAGCCGCGGGUCCGCAUUGUAAGAUGCGGGCGGUAGGGGAGCAUUGCGCUAACCGGAGAAGGCGUACCUGUGAGGGGCGCUGGAGGAAGCGGAAGAGAGAAUGCAGGCACAAGUAACGAAAAGACGGGUGAGAUUCCCGUCCGCCGAAAGCCUGAGGAUUCCCGGGUAAAGGCAAUCUGCCCGGGGUAAGUCGGCCCCUAAGGCGAGGACGAAAGUCGUAGUCGAUGGGAAAUCGGUUCAAAAUCCGAUACCCGGCUCAGUUUUGAAGGCAGGACGCAUGAGGUGAAAUCCGGCAGGAGAACGGUAGAUUCUGUCCAAGCGGUAAGGUGUUGAGAGGGCGGUUAAAAGAGCCCUUGAGCUGAGCCGUUACGGGGAGCGGAGCGCAGGCGAAGCGAAGCGGAUGUAAUCAAGGUGCCGGGAAAUACUGUCUAAAGUUAGGCUGAGUCGGACCGUACCGGAAACGGACACACGCAGGCAGGAUGAGUAAUCUAAGGCGCACGAGCGACCCCGCGUUAAGGAACUCGGCAAAAAGCACACGUAACUUCGGAAGAAGUGUGGCUCACGCUGAUAAGGAUGUGAGCGGCAGAAAGCAGGCCCAGGCGACUGUUUAUCAAAAACACAGCCAUCUGCGAACCAGUAAUGGGACGUAUAGGUGGUGACACCUGCCCGGUACCGGAAGGUUAAGGGGAGGGGUUAGCAGCAAUGCGAAGCUCCGAACCGAAGCCCCGGCAAACGGCGGCCGUAACUAUAACGGUCCUAAGGUAGCGAAAUUCCUUGUCGGGUAA
rnacentral:rRNA from 1 species